CGCUCGGCUGGCGCUUGGCCCAGGUCGACUUCAGGCAGCCCCAGCAGGCGCGCGCUGUCCUCAACGCCUGGGUGCAGAACCACACACAAGGGAUGAUCCAGGGCUUCCUGCCGCCUGGUGCCGUGGGCCCCAGCACCCGCCUGGUGCUGGCCACCGCCGUGUACUUCAAAGGUGCCUGGCUGCAUCCUUUCCCGGUCACUUCCACCCGCCGCCGCCUCUUCCACAAGCCCGAUGGCAGCACUGUGGCCGUGCCCAUGAUGGAGCAUACGGCCAAGUUCAACUACGGGGAGUUCACGACGCCGCAGGGG